ensembl:lncRNA
UCUGAAGAGAUACAGAGCUAGAGAACUUGUCUUGUUAAUCUUGGGAGAGAGGGUGAUUUUGUCUUCUGGAAACUAUCCUCUUACAGUAAAAUUUCUCAAACCACUUUUACCAUGGAACAUCUUUUUUCCAGUCUGAAGAGUGUUCUUCAGAGCAAUAUGAGAAACUAUGGUUUCAGUCCAUAAAUGAUAUAAAAAUGUUAAGGUUUCUUCUCAUCUAUAGAAGAUGAAAAAUUUGGAGGAAGGCAGCAUGUUAUGGUGUCUUCUUUAAGUACAGAAGGUGGAGUCAGGAAAUCUGGACUUCAGUGUCAGCUUUGCCAUUUUCUAGGUUAAGUGACCUUGGGCAAGUCAGUUUAUUAAUCUAGCCUUAGUCUCCUCACAUAUAAGAAGGUAAAGUGAGAUCAGUUUAUAUCCAUUGUCUUAAACAUCUCUACUAUUCAGUAAAUUCUAGAAUUUAUACAACUGGCUGCCCAGGCCAUUUUCCUAGAUUCUAGUCAAUGGGAAAAUCUUCUAGAGGAACUCAGCCCCACAGACAACCUCUCAGGAAAUAGGAGAAGGUGGAGCUCUAAGCUCAGCUCCCCAUCCUCAAAUCAUAAUCCAGGAUUUGCUCUGAAAACCACCAAACAACUCUCCAAGGGAGAAAAAUCCUGGACCUGCUUAAAGACCCCACCCAUCUCAAGAAGGUCCCCACCUCUUUCCCCUGCCAGCCUGCCAUGGAUCUUUCCAAUUUUCCAUCACUUUCUCCAACACUAUGUCAGCUUCUCCCACUUUCAAGGAAGCUUAGUCAUUGAGAAAGGGUUAAUGUUGCUGAAAAGACCCAGUGCUGUCCAAUCAAAACAUUUUCGCUUUUAAAGGCACUGAAAGAGACAGAGGGAAGUCUAGAAAUAAAGUUCAAAGCGGCCAUCUCUAUAAGAUGGUCUCUGAAGCCCAACUAAACUUUAUUUUCCAAAAGCGUAGGAACCAUUUCUUAUAAGCUAGGUGUUGUUCUAAGAGCUUCAGCUAGUUUACCUCAUUGACUCUUCACCAUAAUCUUAGGAGGAAAGUACUUUGGUGUAACUAUGCUACAAACAAGGAAACAAGCACAGACCUGCAAUGAUCAAAUUUGUAAAUUUCCAACAUACCUUACUUACUUGUCCACUAAAAGUAAGAUUUAUUCUGCUGGUCUUACUUAUCUUGUGAUUUUGUCAUAGUUCCCCCCGCCCUCUUUUUAGGCAGUGCCUGCUUACUAUGUUAUGUUUUAAUUGAGCCUUCUUCAUGUCCGUGUAAAAGAUGCAUAAAAUCAU